ACCCCACAGAGGGUUAAAACGAUGGAAGGCGUGGGUGACCAUUUUGUAAGGUAGGAAGCACUUUCUCCAAGUUCUUUUGACUUUCUUAAGAUCACACAGUUCAGACAGACCUCUCACCCUAGAGGUAGAGGGUGCAUAGGAACUUUGACCUGCUCCCCUUCCUUGCAUAUUCCUCAUGACACUUUUCUAAUCUCUCCCAUCAUUGCUGCUGGAGAGCAUCAGGACUUAAGUGCCUACCACUGACUAUCACCAGGAGCUGUGGUUGUUCACUAAAAUUAAUCAGUGGAAUUGAACAAAUGAUACAUGGAAUUGCACUAAAGUCAGACAAAUAGAAUGAAGGGGUUGUCUCCAUUUUUCUUCAAUUGGAAAUGUUAUAGGAAAAAAAUCUAAUUUGUGUAAAUUAAGGAGAAGUGAGUCAUUAGGUAGCAGGUCUAAUUUUAACCCAGGUUCACAGGCUACAUUGUAUCUUGAUUUAGCAAUGAAUGAAGAAGUUACUUGAUUAGGUUCAGUGAGGAGCCCAGGGUCAAUCAGACAGUUAAUGAAAACAGCAAAAGCCUUCUUCCUACAUUCCCAGUCAGUUGCUCAGAGUGACUCAGAAUACAAAAAUACUUGGAAAAACCACAAGAACAAGCCAUUUAAAGAAUCAAGGGGAAAGAAAAUUAAAUACCACUCUACAAUAAAAUAUUGAAAUGGAAUUUCCCCCACUGUGGAGGACAUGGUGUUAUUUGAAAGUCCACUGUGCAGAAGAAAACAAAACAAAGCAAAAUAGCAACAAACGCCAAAUAGACAAACACCACUGAAAAUGAUAACGAAUGAAAAGACUGGUCAGAGCAGUCACGAUCCUCUGGGGCCGAGCUCAGUGCUCUUCUGGGCUCUUCUUGGGUCCUGAAGAAUCUGAUGAUGGGGUGUGCUCUGUGGGAAUUCUGUCAUACCGGAAGUUCAAUAAAUGCUACCGCUCCGCCCACCCGCAAGGUUCAGUUGUUAUUAAAGGGCUUCAAACAGGAAAAAAAUAGAACCAUGGGUAUUAGAGAGUACAAGAGUCACCAAAGUAAGAAUAUUCUAGGUUUUGGAAAAUCUAGAUCUUCUGUCUUCUGGAAACCUUGAACUCUAAAACGAUCGUGAGUUCUGUUACUUCUGCAGAGACCUCUGCCAGAACACAGACACGCCCAAACACUAUAUUUGCUGUCAGCUUUUGCUUUUAAAUCUUAAGCCCUUUGAAUGGUUUUUGUGCUGUCUGAGUCUGCCAGGACAGUGCCAAUCAUAAGCAGGCAUUCUCAUUCUGUUUCUGAUUUCAAAGAGAAUAAUUUGAAAAGGUUUUUGAAAAACACUUGAUAUCCUUUAAGGAACAGAGCAUUCUUCCUGUUCCUCGGUAUAGAGGAUUCAGUGUAAGCUUUCAAACCAAGGCAAAUGGAUCAAUUUUAGCAAUACCUUCAUCUAGAAGACUAUGUGACUUCCCUCCCUCCCCCUAUAAUCUGCUUGUGUGGUGAAACAUGCUGUUAGGUUUUCUAAUGGUGAGCCAUCCUUGAUCUUCUACAUUCAAAGUGAAGCACAUGUACCAUGCACUCUUGCCUUAAAAUGAUGAGUGUUUUAUUGAAGCUUUUGCAAUUACAUUCAUAAGGAAUACUGAGCAAGAAAUAUUCUUUGUGUGCCACCUCUGGUAGCUUUGGGCAUCAAGGAUCUUAGCCUCAUACAAUCAUAUGCCAUUAAACCCUAAUUGUUCUUUGUAAUAAUUUUGUUUAAAACUGGGAUUAACCUGUAGAUGGAUGUUUGAUGGAAGUCACUGCUAAAAUCAUCUAGAUUUUACAUCAUCAGGAUUUUAGGUGGGUUUUUAAAAAUAUGUUUAUUAAGUCUUAGAGAAUUUCAUAUCAGUGUUUGGUGUAUUUUGAUCAUAUUCCCCCUUUUUACCUCCCCCAACUCCUCCCAGAUCCAUCCGCUACCUCUCCACUUCCUACCAACAUUGUAUACU
rnacentral:lncRNA from 1 species